AGCCAUAUUGGCUUCUAGGACAUGCAUCUAAUACCUUAACCCUUCUCUAUUGUCAGAUAAUUUCUUAGGUACAAUACCGUCACAAGAUAUCCCAAAAAUCUGAGCAAGCCUCUCCUCAGUAAUCUUAAACUUAAUCCCCUUCACAGAUGACACUAGCUCUCCAAAAUCUCUCCUUAGAUUUCCAUAGAAAUCUCUCACCAAAUGAGGAUACAUGGGC
rnacentral:lncRNA from 1 species